GAACGGCAGCACGGGAGCAAUCCUGGUGGCGAGUGGCGAACGGGUGAGUAAUACAUCGGAACGUGCCCAAUCGUGGGGGAUAACGCAGCGAAAGCUGUGCUAAUACCGCAUACGAUCUACGGAUGAAAGCAGGGGACCGCAAGGCCUUGCGCGAAUGGAGCGGCCGAUGGCAGAUUAGGUAGUUGGUGAGGUAAAGGCUCACCAAGCCUUCGAUCUGUAGCUGGUCUGAGAGGACGACCAGCCACACUGGGACUGAGACACGGCCCAGACUCCUACGGGAGGCAGCAGUGGGGAAUUUUGGACAAUGGGCGCAAGCCUGAUCCAGCCAUGCCGCGUGCAGGAUGAAGGCCUUCGGGUUGUAAACUGCUUUUGUACGGAACGAAACGGCUCUUUAUAAUAAAGAGGGCUAAUGACGGUACCGUAAGAAUAAGCACCGGCUAACUACGUG
rnacentral:rRNA from 1 species